rnacentral:rRNA from 1 species
ACGUAGGAGGCGAGCGUUAUCCGGAUUUACUGGGCGUAAAGCGUGCGCAGGCGGCUAUGCAAGACAGGUGUGAAAUCCCCGGGCUUAACCUGGGAACUGCACUUGUGACUGCAUGGCUAGAGUGCGUCAGAGGGAGGUGGAAUUCCGCGUGUAGCAGUGAAAUGCGUAGAGAUGCGGAGGAACACCGAUGGCGAAGGCAGCCUCCUGGGAUGACACUGACGCUCAUGCACGAAAGCGUGGGGAGCAAACAG